rnacentral:rRNA from 1 species
CCAUGCCGCGUGCAGGAAGACGGCCUUAUGGGUUGUAAACUGCUUUUAUAAAGGGCUAAACCCCCGGACGUGUCCGGGGCUGAAGGUACUUUACGAAUAAGCACCGGCUAACUCCGUGCCAGCAGCCGCGGUAAUACGGAGGGUGCAAGCGUUAUCCGGAUUUAUUGGGUUUAAAGGGUGCGCAGGCGGAUCUGUCAGUCAGUGGUGAAAUCCCGGGGCUCAACCUCGGAACUGCCAUUGAUACUGCAGGUCUUGAGUUUGGUUGAAGUGGGCGGAAUGUAGCAUGUAGCGGUGAAAUGCAUAGAUAUGCUACAGAACACCGAUCGCGAAGGCAGCUCACUAAACCAACACUGACGCUCAGGCACGAAAGCGUGGGUAGCGAACAGGAUUAGAUACCCUGGUAGUCCACGCCGUAAACGAUGAUUACUCGUUGUUGGCGAUACACAGUCAGUGACUAAGCGAAAGCGAUAAGUAAUCCACCUGGGGAGUACGUUCGCAAUAAUGAAACUCAAAGGAAAUUGACGG